CUACUCUCUCUGUAGUCUUUUUUUUUUUUUUUUUUUUUGAGACGGAAUCUCGCUCUGUCACCAGGCUGAAGUGCAGUGGCGCUAUCUCGGCUCACUGCAGCCUCUGCCUCCCAGGUUCAGGCGAUUCUCCUGCCUCUGCCUCCUGAGUAGCAGGGAUUACAGGCUCACGCCACCACACCCAGCUAAUUUUUGUAUUUUUAGUAGAGAUGGGGUUUCACCAUGUUGGCCAAGAUGGUCUCAAUCUCUUGACCUGGCGAUCCGCCCACCUCAGCCUCCCAAAGUGCUGGGGUUACAGGCGUGAGCCUCCAUGCCCAGCCCUCUCUCUGUAGUCUUUAUUACAAGGAUUGCAGACAAAUUGGUUUGGCCUGGUCAGUUAUUUUUUUCUGUUUUAACAGUUGGGCCAGGCGUGGUGGCUCAUGCCUGUAAUCCCAGCACUUUGGGAGGCUGAGGUGGGCGGAUCAUGAGGUCAGGAGUUUGAGACCAGCCUGACCAACAUGGUGAAGCCCCGUCUCUACUAAAAUUACAAAGAUUAGCUGGGCGUGGUGGCGGGCACCUGUAAUCCCAGCUACUCAGGAGGCUGAGGCAGGAGAACUGCUUGAAUUGCUUGAACCUGGGAGGCGAAGGUUGUAGUGAGCAGAGAUCGUGCCACUACACUCCAGCCUAGGUGACAGAGACUCUGUCUCAAAAAACAAACAAAAAAACAAAACAAAAAAAAACAGUUGGACUUGAAUGUUUUUAACUGGGCCCCAUCACUCCUUUUUGAAUAGUUUGUGUUGCCAGUCACACCCUGUAGGGUUUGUAGCCUGACUUUUCAAGCAGUGUGGUGGUAGGGAGUCCAAGGAAGUUGAGUGGACUGUUUUGGACGUCUUUGGAGGAAUUGGUGUGGAUGGGUAAUGACUUAGUAUUUCAUUGAAAUGUUCAUUUCUCUCGAGUUAUUUCUGGCAGAGGAUAGCUCUAGUAGUCCCCUUCUCUUUUCCAAACACCUUUACCUUUGUCCUAAUGAAAGUACUUAGUUAUCUCUUUGGGCAGAUGCUAUUUCUCUAGCUAAAUUAACAUGUCAUCAUUCACAGUUGGAAAACUGUGGCUGUGCUUUUUCAUUUUUAGAGAAAUGUUUUUAAAAUACAGAAAAGAGGCUGGGCGCAGUGGCUCACACCUGUAAUCCCAGCACUUUGGGAGGCCGAGGUGGGUGAGUCACUUGAGGUCAGGAGUUUAAGACCAGCCUGGCCAACAUGGUGAAACCCUGUCUCUACUGAAAAUACAAAUAUUUAGCUGGGCAUGGUGGCGCGCACCUGUAAUCCCAGCUACUUGGGAGGCUAAGGGAGGAGAAUCGCUUGAAAGUGGGAGGCGGAGGUUGCAGUGAGCUGAGAUUGCACCGCUGCACUCCAGCCUGGGCAACAGAGAGAGACUCCAGCUCAGAAAAAAUAAAAAUAAAAUACAGAAAAGAAAGAGAAUAACUGUCACAAACCCAUAUAUCCAUCACUGAGAAGUGGCAAUUGUAAAUAUUUUGUAAUUUGCUUUAAUUUUUUUAAAUAAAAGAAAUAAAGUUUAUUCACAGC
rnacentral:lncRNA from 1 species